rnacentral:rRNA from 1 species
AGCAGCCGCGGUAAUUCCAGCUCCAAUAGCGUAUAUUAAAGUUGCUGCAGUUAAAAAGCUCGUAGUUGAAUUUCGGGAUCAAUAUGUUGGUCGUGCCUUGGUACGUACUAGCUUAUUGAUUUCUUCCUUCUGAUGAACCAUGAUGUCAUUAAUUUGGUGUCAUGGGGAAUCAGGACUGUUACUUUGAAAAAUUAGAGUGUUUAAAGCAGGCUAACGCUUGAAUACAUUAGCAUGGAAUAAUGAAAUAGGACGUUUGAUUCUAUUUUGUUGGUUUCUAGGAUCGACGUAAUGAUUAAUAGGGAUAGUUGGGGGCAUUAGUAUUCAAUUGUCAGAGGUGAAAUUCUUGGAUUUAUUGAAGACUAACUACUGCGAAAGCAAUUUGCCAAGGAUGUUUUCAUUAAUCAAGAACGAAAGUUAGGGGAUCGAAGACGAUCAGAUACCGUCGUAGUCUUAACCAUAAACUAUGCCGACUAGGGAUCGGAUGAUGUAAUUUUUAAUGACU